CUUCUCACCCUCAGCGCCCGAUGCCGGUAGAACUGGUGCGCGGCUCGCCCCUCCCCCAAACUUCCUGAGAACUCUUCAAAGAGGGUUGUGAUUUGAAGAGUAACCUUCUUCAGAAAACUGUGGAGACUUCACAGAAAUGGCAGAAGCUAGUUGAAGUCUACAAAUUACCUAAUGGAACAGGUGUUAUUCCCAUGAGAUUCCCAAAUAAACUUCCUGCAUGCAAAUCUCCAUCUCAGCAUCUGUUUCCCUGAGGAGGAACCAACCUAAGAUGAAUUGCAAAUUAAAAUCUCAAAGUGAGUCAAAGCAACCAGAAUUUCCCUUCCCAAGGAGUAUCAGCUGUGACCCUUAUGAUGGUUGAGGAAAGUUAUCACACCCUUUCUGUCCCUACAACUCAAAUGAAGAUCUAAAACAUUUUCAGCACUUCAGAAGUUUUCCUGGGGCCCUAUCCUGGAUAGUAACCUUCCCUACCCCCUACAAAUAAGUGAAUAAGACAGAGACCGUGUCCUAGCUUUCAUGGAACUUAUGACCUACUGAGGAAUGCAAAUUGUUUAGUUAAGUAAACAAUUACACAAAUGAUUGUUUAUUAAUAAUUGAUAUUACUAUUACAACGGAAAACUCAAAGUAUGAAAAGAGAAAUGUAAUUAGUUUGGUAAAACUGAGAAAAGACAAAUCUGAAGAAGUAAUCUUUAAUGCGAAGAAUGAGUAGGAGUUAGUUAGGCAAAGAGAAUAGGGAGGAAAGAGCAUCCCGAGGAGAGGAAAUAGUAUGUGGCUUGAGUAGGAAAACAGCUUCAAGGAAAUAAAAAAUAAAAAUACUGUUGGUAAGCAGAAAAGAGGUAAUGCAGGAAACUGGAGGAACAGGCAGGAGCCAGUCCCUGCAGGGCCUUAUAAACUGGUUAAGGAUGUGUGUUUUAAUCUAAUUGUAAUGGAAAACUACUCCAUGGCUUGAAAGGAAAGUGCAUUUUUAAAUGAUCAUUGUGGACCACUGUGAAGAUAAUGCAUUGUUGAGAAGACAGAAUUGAAGUUGGAAGCCACUUUUAGGCUAUUGUAAGAGAUGAUGAUGACUUGGACUAUAAAAGCGGCUUUGAAACAAAAAUACACGGGAAAUUAAAGAUGCAGUUUGAAAGUUGCAUCCACUGGAUUCAAUGACUGAUGGGAUGAGAAGGAACUGGGCAACCAAAUUCUGGCUGGUAUGGAGUGCCUGAGCAGUAGUGCACAAAGAGGAGACACAGAAAAACAAAUACUCCAUGGUCUUCCAAAAGUAUUCUAUGGAGCUAGGUUUCUCCAGGUGAGGGCAUGUCGGUGAUGAAACUAUCACUACUGUUCAAGGUGCCAGCAGUUUGACUUACCAUCGCUUUUGUACAAUCAUCACUACAUGUCAGCGUGGGAAAAAGAAUAAAAUAACAUCUUAAUAUUAUUAUGAAAACAGUUUUGGCCUCAUGGACCCCUUGAAAACCUAUCAGGUUAACUGCAGACCACAGUUUGACGCUUUUAAUGUAUCCUAGAGGAUAUCCUUCUUUGUGUUACUGUGGGGUACCCAUUGUCGUUGAAAUUUGUUUGAUAAUCCCCCUUUUUACCUCUCUUCUGUCAUCACCUUGAAUCACAACUUGCAUUUUUUAUUAUUAUGGUUAUCUUUUUACAUGCUCGGCUUGGCUACCCCAAUAGAUAGUAUAGUGCCUUGUUACCCAAAAUAUGGGCCGUGGACCAAUAGCAUCAGCAUCACCUAGGAGCUUUGAAAAAAAUGCAGAAAUUCAGGCCUUCUUCCAGUACUACUGAAUCACAAACUGCAUUUUGUUGUUGUUGUUGUUGUUGUUGUUGUUGUUGUUGUUGAGACGGAGUCUCGCUCUGUCGCCCAGGCUGGAGUACAUUGGCGCGAUCUCUGCUCACCACAAGCUCCGCCUCCUGGGUUCACGUCAUUCUCCUGCCUCAGCCUCUCCAGUAGCUGGGACUACAGGCACCCACCACCACGCCCGGCUAAUUUUUUGUAUUUUUAGUAGAGACGAGGUUUCACCGUGUUAGCCAGGAUGGUCUCCAUCUCCUGACCUCGUGAUCCGCCCGCCUCGGCCUCCCAAAGUGCUGGGAUUACAGGCGUGAGCCACCGCACCCGGCCCACAGGCUGCAUUUUAAUAACACUCUCUGGUGAUUUGUACGCUUGUGUGUUGGAGACCUAUUAUAUUUGCCUAACUGUCGUUCUCUGCUUCAGGAAAUCUGUCAUUUGUCUAUUUCAGGAAAUGCUCUGACUCCAACACAUAAGGUUGGUUGCAUUUUCCCUGAUACAGAAGUGGGUGUAUAACUAAGUUAAGCUAUUUAGAGUAUGCUAUCCCUGUAAACAGAGUAAUUUGUCCAUUGCUGGGCAUGUGUAAGCAAGACAAAUCAGAGUCCAUUUUUUCAGAAUAAUAUGGGUGGUGGGAGAAAGGAACUGCUCCUCUCUCUGGGAUUAUUAGCUGUAUGGAUAAUGCAAAUCCAAAAAUUGCUGUGGCCAUCUUUGCUGCAACAUAAAGGAAAGUUCUCUGAAGUGAUUCCAGAAAAGAGGAGGACAGAAGUCAGAGAUGGAGAGAGAUAGACCCUUGAUGACAUCAAAUGAGCCUCUGGAUCCAGCUCUGCCUGAAGUCAUCUGCCCCAUGAUUUUCAGUAAUGUGAAUCAACAACAUAUUCUGCUUUUCUAGCUAAUGUUAGUUUGAAUCGGGUUUCUGUUCCUUGCAACCAAGGGUUUUGACAUAAGACGAAAAACUCUGUGGGGACCUAUGUAUCAUUUAUAUUUUUUGUAAUCUUCAAAAUACCUAGCAAGUGCCUUAAAUUUAAUGAUCACCAUUGUUCACCAUCUCAGCUCAUUUUAUUGAGUCCCCUAUUUUAUACCUUUCUGAUAUGCAUAUUGGAAUAUGUCAACCCUGGCUUAAAUGCUUCAACUCUUCCUUACCAUGGAGGUGUACAGUGCUGUUUAAAACGUUCUUCACAGUAUAGCUAUACCCACCUUCACAGGCUUAUCUGUCAGUUCCUCUCUACUGGUGCCAUUCACCUCAUUUGCUGGGUCUUGAAGAAGCCCUAGCAUUUCUUGACACCAAGCAUUUACAUAUGCUGUUCCCACUAUACCUUGGCUAUCUAACUGAUGAACUCCUAUGUGGUUUGAAGGAGACUUUUCAAAGAUCACCUUCUUUGUAAAGGUUUUCUUAAUGCCCAAUUAUUUUACUCCCUGAGAUUAUACUCCUGUGUUCUUCAUCAAGCCUUUACAAACUAUAUUAAAUUUCUUGGACAUUUCUCAGUGUUGCCUGUAAGAUUAUGAACCUGUUAAAUUCAGAGACAUCUUUCAUCCCUGUAUUCUCAUAUUUGAUAUAGAAAUCCGACACUUACCAUGAGCCCUUUAAAUGUUUAUUAAAAGCAAAAAUAACUAAAAAUGACAAAAGAAUUUUAGUCAUUACUCUUGGGCUCUGCCAUUUAUUUGCUCUUUGACCAGGGCCAAAUAAUUUAUGCUACUGAAAUACCGUAUUUCUUCAUCUAUAAAAUUAGGAUAAUAUUGUCCACCUUGCCUGGUAUGAUAAUUCUAUGGAAUUACAGGCAGAAAAACAGUCUCCCCUCAAAGAUGUCUACACCUUAAUCUCUGGAACCUGCUAAUAUGUUGUGUUACAUGGCAGAAGGGGCUUGCAGACUUAGUGAAAUUUACAGAUCUUGAUAUGGUGAGAUUAUUCUGUAUUAUCAGGCAGGGUUCAGGCAAAGCACAUGAGCUCUUAAAAUAGUUUUUUUUUUUUUUCCAGGCAGAGAACAGAGGAGAGAUGAGGCAAAAGGGAAUAUUAGACAGAUUCAAAGCUUGAAAAGGACUUGAUCCACUAUGAGGCCAUUAAUGAAGGAAUGCAGGCUGCCUGUAACAGUUGAAAAUCACCCCAGCCAACACCCAGCAAGGAAAUGGAGACCAUAGUCCUCUAACUGUAUGGAACUGAAUUCUGCCAACAAAGUGAAUAAGAUGGGAAGUGAAGACCCUCCCAGAGCCUCCAGAAAGGAAGAGAGCCAUUCAGACACCUUGAUUUCAGCCUUCUGAAACUUGGAGCAGACAGCCGGCUGUGUCAACCUGAACCUGGGCUUUUAACCUACAAAACUGAGAAAUAAUGAAUAGUGAUUUUUUUUUUUUAAGAUGGAGUCUCGCUCCGUCACCCAGGCUGGAGUGCAGUGGCACGGAAUAGUGAUUGUUUUAAGCCACUAAAUUUAUGGUAGUUUUGUUAGGGCAGCAAUAGAAAACUAAUACAUAUGUAAUAUAGCAUUUUAUAAACUAAAAUGUCAGGCAAAUAUGUGCUCUUAUAAUUUGAUAUUGCUAUCUAUUAGAGACAUUGGGUUAAAGAAUAUACUGAACCAAUGUUGUAUUUAUUAUAAGAAAGAUAAGGGUGGGAGAUGGAAAAAAUGAUGUUAAACUCAUGAAUUUAGUUUGCUUUGCAAAUGUUUAACUUUGAGGUUGCUUUUUUCCAGAUCCCUGGAGAUUUGGCCUUUCGGCAUACAGAGAGGUUUUAUUAAAGCUGAAGUCCCUUGUAAAAGCUUUUAAUAGCUUUCUUUAAAAAAAUCACCUAAACCCUCUGUUCUGUGCUAUUCCUCUAAAUGCAAGAAAGCACAAAGAUACUGAAGAAACACAGAGACAAAAUUAAAUCAGGGGCUCUCCUAGCUCCUCCAUUAUUCAAAGCACUUAGUGGACUAUAAAUGAUUUAGAAGUGAUACAACUAGACUUUUCAGAGUAAAUAGUUUUCAUUUUCCUGAUUGGUAAUCAGGAGAAAGAAGAUUCCAUAUUCCCAUCAGCAGAGAUUUAGAAUUAUCUUUUGCCAAAAAUGAAAGAGCUCUUUCUUCCCGUGUAGUCCAUUUAAAUAUAUAUAUAUAUGUGAAGGUGAAUCAAAAGAAAAAGAAAACAGAUUACAACUUUAUUACUGCCCUUAUUGGACACUUAUACCAGCAGGCUAGCAGACACUGCACAGAAUAUAGAAAUGAGACUCUGAGUACAUGAUCUAUAAUGAAAAUGAAGCCAAUCAGAAUCUAAUAUUACUACAAGGUUGAAAUAAAAGCUAUGGUAUUUCUCAUAACUGCACUUGGCACUUAGAGAAAUUGAGACUCACAACAUGCUUCAUAAACAUUAAUUAAUUACUCUGGGCUUACAUUUAAUUCUUCCAGUGUAUAGAACGUAUGUACAGAAGAUGAAAGAGUCAGCCAUAACCUGGUGCUCAUUGUACUUCCAGAUUGUAGGAUCAGCUAAUAAUAAUCACAAUAGUAGCUGACACUUGUAAUCUUCAGAACACCCUUUAAGCAUUUAUUAAUCAACUAUUGCGCCAUCUCAAGGGAAAGAUAAAUAUUAUUCUUCUCAUUUAUAACCCAUAAAAUUGUGGCUUCAAGUGGAACAGUUUUGCCCAGGAUUCCCCCAAAAAACCCCAAGUGGAGAUUAGAGAAUUAGAAUCCCUCUAUAUACAUACCAUAAAUGUUCAAUACCACAUUAUGAGAGAAGUCUUAAAACAGUGAAAUUGACAGACAGCAUUGAUUACUAUAGAAAAAGUCCUAGGGUACAUCCAAGAAAGAGAAAAAAAAGGUUGACAAAUUGGAAAGGAAAGUUGAUGCACUCCCAGAGAAAAUCUCCUACUCAAAGAGUUUCCUUUGACUGCAACACAUGAUUUUCUGAUUCCUCCAGAACACUCAGUUCUGGAAUGGUCACUAAACAGGUUUGAGAUGAGGGUAAAAAAAAAAUCCAGCCAAAAGGCCCACAUAGGAACUCACAGAUAUAUCUGACUGGCCCACAUAGUGUUUUUAUUUUUAAUGAACAUAAAUAGGGUGCAGCCACACUUGCCCAUGCCCCACUGCAUAUGAGACAAUGCAUUUGACACUGGUGGUUGUUAAUAUGUAUAGACUAUACUACUGAGAGAUGCCUUGUACACCCAGAAUCACCACCAGCUCAGAGCAUAUAAUGCUCCUUUCUUUCUACCAUUCUCAAAACAAAAAGUUGAGUGAGAGUACUAGAGUAUCCCCAACCUACUGCCAUUGUGGUGGUUUUUCUCUCUGUUCUUUGUCCUACCUCCUAUUUUGCUUCCUUUCCAGCCCAAGUCUUUCCACCUUGUAUCUGGCCUUUUUACUCCCAAUUCAGAGCUUUCAUCCUGACAUCUCCGUCUGCUGGGAAAGUUCUUAUCCUUAUAUCUCAUACCCUUUUGACCUAAAGAAUUGUUUAGGCCCCAAAUCUCUCAAAUAUGUAUCUAAUCAAAUGCUGUUCCCACCUCCUGUGACCCCUUAGUCUGCUUUAUGUUUUUUCAUGGUAAUUAUAACUCCCGAAAUUACAUUAUAUGUUUGUUUGUUUAGUUUUUCAUCAACUGAAUCUACCACUAGAACAUAAAUUUCUUGAGUGCAGGCCUGUUUUCUUUUCCACUGAAGUACCUAGUUCAGCGCCUUCCUCAGAAGAGGCAUGAGGCAAUAUUAGUGAAUCAGUGAAUUAAUCAUGCACAGAUUUCCAUGUCAAUACAUAUAUAUGUCUUCAUUAUUAUCUUAAUAGCUGCAUAAUAUUUCACUAAUAUCCACAUUUAUUUAAACAGUAUAUUGUUUUUGGAAAUUGGGGUUGUUUCCACUUUCUUCCUUUAAAAUAGCAUAACAUGAGGACUAUGACAGGGAGGGCAGAGUAGAAAGAAGGAAGGGAUCAGGGUUAGAGAAAUAAACCCAACCUCUUUCUUGGUAAUCAGGGGCUACUCUGCUUCCUACAACCCAACUGAUUCCUAGUGACAAGAUCUCUUAAACCUGGGUUCCUGCAGCAGUUGGCCCCUGUCAGAGGCCUUCUUGCGUUUACUUGGUUGGCAUGUCUAGCUGUCUAGGCUCCAGUUCCUGCUUAAAGACUAUGAGGUACAGAACUAAGUGCAUGAAGCAUAUCCUCUAUUAAUGUUAAGUCCCUUCCUACUCCUAUUGUUCAAAGGGGAAGGUGCUAAAUUUGUUCUUCCUGUACCCUUCGGUUUCAUUCUGUGUCUUAGUCCUUUGGAGAUAAUUGGGGUAGAGUACUACAUACUAUAAUUUAGGAUAGUGGGUUUUUGUUUUGUUUUGUUUUUGAGAAUGAGUCUCACUCUGUCACCCAGGCUGGAGGGCAGUGGCUUGAUCAUGGCUCACUGCAACCUCCGCCUCCCGGGUUCAAGUGAUUCUCCUGCCUCAGCCUCCCAAGUAGCUGGAUUACAGGCAUGCACCACCAUGCCCAGCUAAUUUUUGUAUUUUCAGUAGAGACGGGGUUUCACUAUGUUGGCCAGGCUGGUCUGGAACUCCUGACCUCAGGUGAUCCGCCCGCCUUGGCCUCCCAAAGUGCUGGGAUGACAGGUGUGAGACCUCGUGCCCGGCCUAGGAUAGUGUAUUGAUGCAAGAGGUUUUGAGUGUCCAAAUAAUUAUCUGCUGAAUUUGGAACCUUUAGGAAAGAUUAUCUAGAACUGUAAUUUCAAAUACACCUCUGGGAGGGGCUGGAGAAGUUAGGAGGCAAAGUGAGGGUGUUCACAAGUCAAAUCAGUCAAAUUAUCUGGAAAAUUCAGAGUGCUAAAUUUACAGAGUUACCCAAUGCGCUAUUCUUCCCCACUUUCUCACUUAUAGUAUAUAGACUCAGCCAUAAGUAUACUUAAGGCCUGUCCUAAUUUCUACCCUCAGUUUCUUGACUGCAACUCAGCAUGGGAGUUAACUGACUGAAGGUUAACACUCAGACUGGGUCCGUAUUUCUCUGAGAAUAGAUUUUGAUCUUCCAUUGCUAAGAGACCUCCCCAUUCCACAAUGUAUACUAACCUAUAGCUCUGUUCUUCUUAUAAUUAUAAAAUGCAAGAUGGCGGGGUCUAUUUCCUAGAGGCAAACAGUAUUAAUCUGCAUACCUGAAAUGCUUUCUCAAUAUGUAUUUUUUGUAAAAGCAUCUGUAGGUUUUGUCAUAAACACAUAGUGUUAAGGAAGCUAAAUUAAUUACAUGCACUUUAAUAUUGAAAGUACAAAAUAACAAACCUUACCAAGAAUGCAUAUUUUAUCUGUCUUGGUGAAAGGAAGGACAGAUGAAAGAAAAGUGUGUACUUAAGUAUGCACUUAAUAGUGUGGAUAGUGAGGGGCAAACGUGUGGAUGAAAAAUGAAUGCUAAAGUCGAUAUUUUUGAAAUAAAUGAAGUAGAAACAUUUGUAGCUAAAACACAAGUAUAAUCUCAGCAACUACUGAAACAAAUAUCAUCACUAAUAUAUUUCUGGAGGCUCACAAAAAAUAUAAUCAAUUUUUCAGUUCAUAAAAUUUCAAAAAAUUGAAUUUACAUUUGCUAAACCAAUUAACAAAUUCUAAUUUACACAGUGUUGAUGCUUCUAAUUGGCAGCCGUGCAUUUUUAUGAGUCUUCCUGUUAAUCUCUUAUGGUAAUCAAACUCACAAAUUUAAAAUUCAUUGGUGUUCUUGAUACAUGUAACUAGUUAAAAUUCUUAAUUAAAUUAGGGUGACUAAAAGAAAAGUCGUUUUAAAAGUAAAAUCAUAAAGUGUUAUGACUAAUGCUGUACAAAUUAGCAUAAGGUAGGUUUGGGGAGAAUCAUUCUGAAGACUUUGCAAUUAGGAGCACCUGCUAUUAGUGCACUUGUUAAACUUUUAUCAAUUAAUCAUUACUCUCAAAUAGCAAGAAAAAUUGAAUGUUGUGAAUAUGAAGAGAGUGAUUAAUUGCAAGUGGUAAAUUGCUGACUGGUUCCAUUAUUACCUGUACUUUAAGAAUUUUUAGAAAUAAAUGUCUAUUAUCAGUUUUAUGAAUAC